rnacentral:rRNA from 1 species
GUCCACGCCCUAAACGAUGUCAACUGGUUGUUGGGUCUUCACUGACUCAGUAACGAAGCUAACGCGUGAAGUUGACCGCCUGGGGGAGUACGGCCGCAAGGUUGAAACUCAAAGGAAUUGACGGGGACCGGCACAAGCGGUGGAUGAUGUGGUUUAAUUCGAUGCAACGCGAAAAACCUUACCUACCCUUGACAUGUCUGGAAUUGCGCAGAGAUGUGCAAGUGCCCGAAAGGGAGCCAGAACACAGGUGCUGCAUGGCUGUCGU